rnacentral:rRNA from 1 species
GACGAACGCUGGCGGCGUGGAUUAGGCAUGCAAGUCGAACGGUAGGAUACCUUCGGGUAUCUGAGAGUGGCGAACGGGUGAGUAACACGUAGGUGAUCUACCCUCAAGAUUGGGACAACCCAGGGAAACUUGGGCUAAUACCGGAUGAAAGCAGCAGUGAUGUUGUUUGAAAGGUGGCGUAAGCUGCCGUUUGGGGAUGAGCCUGCGCUCUAUUAGUUAGUUGGCGGGGUAAAGGCCCACCAAGGCGAUGAUAGAUAGGCGGCCUUAACGGGUGGUCGCCCACACUGGGAUUGAGAUACGGCCCAGACUCCUACGGGAGGCAGCAGUCGAGAAUAGUCUACAAUGGUCGGAAGACUGAUAGUGCGACGCCGCGUGAACGAUGAAUCCCUUCGGGGUGUAAAGUUCUUUUAUAUGUGAGCAGUGCUUUCUAUGUGAACAGCAUGGGGAGAGAGAUAUUAGCAUAUGAAUAAGCAACGGCUAACUCCGUGCCAG